UACCAUGGCGGGCCUGGGCAGGGAUACCUUCGGGUAUGCCGGUGGCUUUGGGUGCCGGUUCGCCAACCCUGUCUUGUGCCUGCCACCUUC
rnacentral:antisense_RNA from 2 species